ACAAGCAAGGUAUGGAUUGAAGCAAAAGUCCCUAAACAAGCAACAAGUGAUGACAUGAUCUCAAUUUGCACUACAGGCUGGUCACCUUCUCCAAAUUCUUCAAAUGUUGUGCGCUUAAGUGAAAAUGAGCUGUUGUAGGUGAUAUCUAAUAUCGCUCUUCGCCAUUCCGCUCUACAUAAUUAUAUAUUGUGAAGCACUUCAAAAGGUUGUUGUCUUGCUGGAGAUUGUUGCCCGAGAGCUUAGCGGGUGGCAUCUUUAUGCUUUUGCUGGAUUUAGGAUCCGGCCUUAUUGCCGGUAUGCUGUAGACCUUGAUGUAGAUUUAUAGUGAAUUCAAAGCCACCUCCUAUGUUGGUAUUUAUUUCCAUCUUUCUGUUAUAACUUACUUGCCCACUUCAUAUCCCUGCCAUACAUAUACCUCUUCUGGUGUGUUUGAUUUUGUCAAAAACAAUCUGUACUUGUUUUG